UUGGCUCGUUCUAUAUGGUCAGUCAUCCAAAUAGCUUCUGGCUUGUAUCCUCCCUAUAGUGUUGCUAAUGUAUUUGGCAACUGGUUACAUGGGAUUGAUCACAAGUUUAGAACUCUUCUCAGGGUGGGAGCGCUUGCCAUUAUUUGGUCGCUUUGGCUAUGUAGAAAUGAUAAGGUUUUUAAUGAUAAAAGUACUUCUCUGUUGCAGGUUAUCUACAGAUGUACCGGGACUCUUCGUUUAUGGUCCUCUCUACAACGCGUGGAGAAUCGAGGCCUAUUUACGGAGGUGUGUACACGAUUGGAGGCUACGGCGAGGGAUACUUUUACCCAACAUGGUUGGCAGCAUGAUCUAAGGAUUGGCCCCCCUCCAUAUUAG
rnacentral:rRNA from 1 species